GACGAACGCUGGCGGCGUGCUUAACACAUGCAAGUCGAACGGUGAAGCGCUUUCCUUUUUGGUUGGUGUGGAUGAGUGGCGAACGGGUGAGUAACACGUGAGUAACCUGCCCCCUUCUUCUGGAUAACCGCAUGAAAGUGUGGCUAAUACGGGAUAUUCUGCGCCUGCUGCAUGGUGGGUGUGGGAAAGAUUGUGCCUUUGGGUGUUUUCGGUGGGGGAUGGGCUCGCGGCCUAUCAGCUUGUUGGUGGGGUGAUGGCCUACCAAGGCGGUGACGGGUAGCCGGCCUGAGAGGGUGGACGGUCACACUGGGACUGAGACACGGCCCAGACUCGUACGGGAGGCAGCAGUGGGGAAUAUUGCACAAUGGGCGCAAGCCUGAUGCAGCGACGCCGCGUGAGGGAUGGAGGCCUUCGGGUUGUGAACCUCUUUCGCCAGUGAAGCAGGCCUGCUCCUUGUGGGUGGGUUGACGGUAGCUGGAUAAGAAGCGCCGGCUAACUACGUG
rnacentral:rRNA from 1 species